UUAUUGUAAAAUUACGCAAAAAUAGUGUAGAAAUUAUUAUUACAUAUGAAAACAUAUAAAAAUAUUAGGUCUAAAGCGAUUCUGACGUGCAAAUCGAUCAUCCCACUUCGAUUUAGGGGUGAAAGACUAAUCGGACUAUCUAGUAGCUGAUUCCUUCUGAAGAUUCCCUCAGGAUAGAUGGAGUACGUUAUGAAGCUGUUAAAUU
rnacentral:ncRNA from 1 species